rnacentral:rRNA from 1 species
AUUGAACGCUGGCGGCAUGCUUUACACAUGCAAGUCGAACGGUAACAGGCCGCAAGGUGCUGACGAGUGGCGCACGGGUGCGUAAUGCAUCGGAACGUGCCCAGUCGUGGGGGAUAACUACUCGAAAGAGUAGCUAAUACCGCAUACGAUCUAUGGAUGAAAGCGGGGGACCGUAAGGCCUCGCGCGAUUGGAGCGGCCGAUGUCAGAUUAGGUAGUUGGUGGGGUAAAGGCUCACCAAGCCAACGAUCUGUAGCUGGUCUGAGAGGACAACCAGCCACACUGGGACUGAGACACGGCCCAGACUCCUACGGGAGGCAGCAGUGGGGAAUUUUGGACAAUGGGCGCAAGCCCGAUCCAGCAAUGCCGCGUGCAGGAAGAAGGCCUUCGGGUUGUAAACUGCUUUUGUACGGAACGAAACGGCUCUGGUUAAUACCCGGGGCUAAUGACGGUACCGUAAGAAUAAGCACCGGCUAACUACGUG